UACGUAGGGGGCUAGCGUUGUCCGGAAUCAUUGGGCGUAAAGCGCGCGUAGGCGGCCAGAUAAGUCCGGUGUGAAAGUCACAGGCUCAACCUGUGAAUGCCGCUGGAAACUGUCUGGCUAGAGUCCGGAAGGGGCGAGUGGAAUUCCUGGUGUAGCGGUGAAAUGCGCAGAUAUCAGGAGGAACACCGAUUGCGAAGGCAGCUCGCUGGGACGUUACUGACGCUGAGACGCGAAAGCGUGGGGAGCAAACAGG
rnacentral:rRNA from 1 species